GAUGAACGCUGGCGGCGUGCCUAAUACAUGCAAGUAGAACGCUGAAGGAGGAGCUUGCUUCUCCGGAUGAGUUGCGAACGGGUGAGUAACGCGUAGGUAACCUGCCUGGUAGCGGGGGAUAACUAUUGGAAACGAUAGCUAAUACCGCAUAACAGUAGAUAUCGCAUGAUAUCUGCUUGAAAGGUGCAAUUGCAUCACUACCAGAUGGACCUGCGUUGUAUUAGCUAGUUGGUGAGGUAACGGCUCACCAAGGCGACGAUACAUAGCCGACCUGAGAGGGGGGGCGGCCACACUGGGACGGAGACACGCCCCAGAGUCCUUCGGGAGCCAGCAGUAGGGAAUCUUCGGCAAUGGGCGGAAGUCUGACCGAGCAACGCCGCGUGAGUGAAGAAGGUUUUCGGAUCGUAAAGCUCGGUUGUAAGAGAAGAACGAGUGUGAGAGUGGAAAGUUCACACUGUGACGGUAUCUUACCAGAAAGGGACGGCUAACUACGUG
rnacentral:rRNA from 1 species